GUGCUUGCUUUGGCAGCACAUAUUCUGAAAUUGGAACAAGAGAGAAAAGAUUAGCAUGGCCCUUGAAUAGGAUGACACACAAAUUCUUGAAGGUUCCAUAUUUUUU
ensembl:snRNA U6 U6 spliceosomal RNA